AUACAAACAACUUUGUCUUUCACCUAAUACAGGGAAAGCCUACUAUCCACAGACAGUGUGUUCCUGAAGAAUGGGAUGACUAGUGUUAUGACAGCACAACAAUUAUCCUGUCAUAAUAGUAAUAGUAGUAGAGGGGAGAUAUCUGCAGAGACUUAAAAGUACACAAUUUAAAUAUGUACAAACAAUAUACAUGGUGUGGAAGAUGGAGAGGCAGGAGCUGGCUCACCGUUCAGGAGACACUGGCUUUUCAGAACACAUAAUGAUCCCAGAAGAUCUCAGCCACUUCAUCCAUGAGACUGAACACCUGAUGUAAAUCUCUUACCAGGUGGCUAACCAACAGUGCUUGAGCUACGUGAAAUGCAAGCAGUUAAGGUGCAAUCUCAUGCCAGGACCGCGGCAUGGUUAUGGAAGAAGGCUACCUAGUGGCUUAACCUACUGCUGAAGGUCAGGAGAAUAUAAUUCAUCUUCCACAAUGCCUAGACAUCACCAGCUACAUUUCUGGAGAUAUCCUGGAAAAUGAAACUGUGAAAACAUCCAAGUGCUUCAGUGGGAUUAUUGUCUAUGACAAGAUCCUCUUGGACAAUACACAGACUUUUGUGCACGUAUUGCCAUAAUACCCAAUAAAAAUCAAAGCUCUGGACCCUCAGGACUGCUCUGCUUGCUGUGCACAGUAUUUCAGAUGGGCUGGUAAUAUGUGGAAUCAGCACUAUCAGUGACAAAAACUAACUCACAGCUUCUCACCCACAUUCUCAGUUUAAGCAUUCAUUGUUCUUUUGAAUGUGUUACUUUCUUCCUUUUGAAGAAAGGUUUCCCAUGUACCAUACAUAGCAGCUAGCCCUGCAAGAUGCUAAUCACUGUGCUAUAUUUUCCUGUUUGGACAAAACAGGUUAUCCUCUGAGACGCUAUUUCUGUUUUUUUAAGUCACAAAAGUAAAAACACUUUGUUAUUUAUUGUUCUUACUGGAAUUACCCUGUGGAAACAAUGGUUGUACAGAAUAGUUAGGACACUGUGCAAGAUUAAUUGAUUACAGGAUCAGCCAGUACGCUCGAAGAGCAUUAGCUUUUCCCAAGAUAAGAAUCUUAUUACAAAUUAGAAGUGGGCUGUAACAGGCAGUGCUAGCUUUUGAACCCAGGCUCGGUGUCAGCCGCCACACUGCUGCUGAUUUGAGACUAAGCCUUAUCCACGGGAGUGCUGUGAAGAAUGAUCACGUGCAAACAACAUAAUUUCCUAAUGCAGAUACGAUCAGAUAGUAUAAGAAAAGAAGAGCAUCUCCCUGACUGAAAAACAUUAGGAAGACUGGUGACUGCUUUAGAAAUAAUCAAUAUGAGAAACCUAAAAGGUAAGCAUGUUGUUUUGAUUAGAGAGCCGGACCUAGGAAAACAGCAAGAGGAAUGGGAAAGUGAAGAAAACUGCAGAAGGAAGGGAGGCAAAAAGUUUAGUUUGUAACUGCAGAGGGCUUUUAUUCUUGUUAGUAUUAGAGGUUAGAUUCUUUUUGGCUAUAAAGGAUAAUUUUGGUUACACUGAUCUUGUAUCGCUGAGAGAAGGAGCUGGACGGAUUCUGCAGAAGAGAAGCAUGUGACUCAUGGAAAGAGUAACUAGUGAAGAACUUGCUCGACUUGAACUCUUGCUUAUAGGAUUUUAUUUACCCCUGGGGAAGGGUGAAAUUUUCCAGUUUGGCAUAGAGCUAAACUACUUUACCAGUGAGAGAGAACUUGAAGCCUUCUUUGCUGAGAAGAUAAGCUUUCAUGAUACAGGAUAAAGGCUAACAUGUACUGAAGAUUAUUGCACAGCGAGAGAGGAAAAAGAUGCCUAAAGCAUGUUUCUUUUAACUAUGAAAACUUGUUAAUGGAGUAUUCAACACAUAUGUAGUACUUAACUAGAUGGUCAUAUUAACUCUUUUUCAAUACACAAGACAAACCACCAUACAUUUCUUUACAGCAGACACACUUACCAAAAAAUAAAGAAAAAUGCUCCCUGCUUUGAGGAACUGAGAAUCCCUAGUAGCUCUUUCAACAAUAUGAUACCCAUAUUCUCAUUCACAAAAAGCUCCAUUAGACAAUUCAGUCAAAACUCUUUUUUGAUUUUUAUUCCUAAUGUGAAUAAUAAGCCACCUGCCUGGUAACAACAUUAUGGGCACUUA